GAGAAGCUUGCUUCUCUUGAGAGCGGCGGACGGGUGAGUAAUGCCUAGGAAUCUGCCUGGUAGUGGGGGAUAACGUUCGGAAACGGACGCUAAUACCGCAUACGUCCUACGGGAGAAAGCAGGGGACCUUCGGGCCUUGCGCUAUCAGAUGAGCCUAGGUCGGAUUAGCUAGUUGGUGAGGUAAUGGCUCACCAAGGCGACGAUCCGUAACUGGUCUGAGAGGAUGAUCAGUCACACUGGAACUGAGACACGGUCCAGACUCCUACGGGAGGCAGCAGUGGGGAAUAUUGGACAAUGGGCGAAAGCCUGAUCCAGCCAUGCCGCGUGUGUGAAGAAGGUCUUCGGAUUGUAAAGCACUUUAAGUUGGGAGGAAGGGCAGUUACCUAAUACGUGAUUGUUUUGACGUUACCGACAGAAUAAGCACCGGCUAACUCUGUGCCAGCAGCCGCGGUAAUACAGAGGGUGCAAGCGUUAAUCGGAAUUACUGGGCGUAAAGCGCGCGUAGGUGGUUAGUUAAGUUGGAUGUGAAAUCCCCGGGCUCAACCUGGGAACUGCAUUCAAAACUGACUGACUAGAGUAUGGUAGAGGGUGGGUGGAAUUUUCCUGUGUAGCGGUGAAAUGCGUAGAUAUAGGAAGGAACACCAGUGGCGAAGGCGACCACCUGGACUGAUACUGACACUGAGGUGCGAAAGCGUGGGGGAGCAAACAGGAUUAGAUACCCUGGUAGUCCACGCCCGUAAACCAAGGUCACUUACCCUUUGGAACCCUUGACUUCUUAUGGCCGCACCUAACGCAUUAAGUUGACCGCCGGGGGAGUACGGCCGCAAGGUUAAAACUCAAAUGAAUUGACGGGGGCCCGCACAAGCGGUGGAAGCAUGUGGUUUAAUUCGAAGCAACGCGAAGAACCUUACCAGGCCUUGACAUCCAAUGAACUUUCUAAAAAUAGAUUGGUGCCUUCG
rnacentral:rRNA from 1 species